UACAGAGGGGCAAGCGUUAUUCGGAAUUAUUGGGCGUAAAGGGCGCGUAGGCGGUCGUGACAAGUCACUUGUGAAAUCUCCGGGCUUAACUCGGAACGGUCAAGUGAUACUGUCGGACUAGAGUACAGAAGGGGCAACUGGAAUUCUCGGUGUAGCGGUGAAAUGCGUAGAUAUCGAGAGGAACACCUGCGGCGAAGGCGGGUUGCUGGGCUGAUACUGACGCUGGAGGAGCGAAAGCGUGGGAGCGAACAGG
rnacentral:rRNA from 1 species